rnacentral:lncRNA from 1 species
GUCGCUGGUCAGACCUCAUGACUCACUUGGACUCUUGAGCCACCUCUGGGGGUGGAGUCUCUCUCCUGGCAUCUGGACCCUUGGUGCUAUCGACGAAGCUUGGCUGGCGCUCUUAGCUGCUAUGUGCAAGACGUGUGUCCCAGGGAAAGCCCCUCUCUCUCUGCAGAGGUCAAGUGAAAGCCACGGCCGCAGCCAACAGAGUUCAAAAUGCAGGCUUGGAAAGUCCAGGGGGCUCUGUGGAGGAUGGGAAGGACUGAUCCACAUUCCCACCAGGAAGUUUAGCAGAACCCCCGCGUGCCACCUGGACCCCUUGGAAGGACCUGGCUCAGGCUGGACCACCUCUUGAGAGGCAGGAGCUCUGGAUUUGAUCAAGAAUUCUUUGCUGAGCAUGGUGCCUCAUGCCUAUAAUCCCAACACUUUGGGAGGCCAGUGUGGGAGGAUCUCUUGAGCCCAGGAGUUCAAGACUAGCCUGGGCAACACAGAGAGACCCCAUCUCUAAAAUAAUAAUAAUAAUAAAAUAAAAAAUUAGCAGGGCAUGGUGGCAUGUGCCUGUAGUCCCAGCUACCCAGGAGGCUGAGGCAAGAGGAUGGCUGGAGCCUGGGAUGUUGAGGCUGCAAUGAACUGUGAUUACCCCACUGCACUCCAGCCUGGGCAAAAGAGCGAGAGACCCUGUCUCAAAUAAUAAUAAUAAUAAUAAUCUUAUUUUGGAGAAUAAAGAGACCUCUGGAUUUGAGGUGCCAUUUGGGUAGAAAGAAAAGACGUUUACACCGAGAAAUAGUCUGUGUUGCCCUGAAGGAGCAGAGGGAUGCAUCGCUGGAGGUGACCUACAGUUGAAGAAGACUCAUUAUGACAGACCUUGUCCUUCUUCCUUGUGGAAAGUGUUUCCUCUGCUGCUACUGCUCAUGAGACUCUUCCCCCUCCCUGUCCCAGGGAACCAAAGGGCUUUCUACCACACCCUUUCUUGCCCCCCGCCUCCCAUGUCUGCUGUGCCUUUGUACUCAGCAAUUCUUGUUUGCUCCAUUAUCUUCCAGCCGGAUACAGAGUGAAUAGUUAACCACACUUAGGUCAAAUAGGAUCUAAAUUUUUGUUCCUGCUCCGUGUAAAGAGGCCAGUGUUUGUGUGUUGCAAGCAGCCUUGGAAUAGUAACUCUUCUCAUUUGUUUGGGAUCUGGCCACCAAGUUCCAGAAUGAUACACGGAUCAGUGCAGAAGUUCAUCAGGCUCUCGGACCUUAGGGCUGUUGGAGAAGGCUUCAGCAGCAGAACUGAUGGUGAAGGCUCGUGUUCUCCAUCCUCAACUUUCUUUGCUUCGAUCAUACACAAGAAUACAUUUGGAAGGGCAAAAAAUGAACACUGUCGUUCAUUGCAGCCGUGUUUUGUGACACAGAUGCACAGUCUGCUGUGAAGACCUUCUCUCAAGUGGCAUUUGGGAGUCCAUGCCAGAUCAUGGUGCUUCAUGAGAGACUGACAGCUAUCAGGGGUUGUGGCACUUAGUGAGGACUCUCCUCCCCCAGUGUGUGCUGAUGACACAUACACACCUGACAAUAGCUUGAGUCUUCUCUGUUCCUUUUACUCUGUAGCCAACAUACACAUGAUUUAAAACCCUUUCUAAAUAUCUAUCAUGGUUCAUCCUUGUCCAAAUGCAGAGUCAGAGCUAUUUGUACUUCAUUAUUAUUUCCAAGGCGAAUAGUUGGCUUUCUUUUUGCAAAAAUAAUUAAAGUUUUUGUAUGUUGCA